AACGGAACCUACCGCACUCUUUUUAUCCAUGCUGUCACAGAAAAACAGGGCGGAGGAGAUUGCAAGGAUACUACCCGUGACAAUGUA
rnacentral:misc_RNA from 1 species